rnacentral:rRNA from 1 species
AGUGAACGCUGGCGGUAGGCCUAACACAUGCAAGUCGAACGGCAGCACAGUAAGAGCUUGCUCUUACGGGUGGCGAGUGGCGGACGGGUGAGGAAUACAUCGGAAUCUACUUUUUCGUGGGGGAUAACGUAGGGAAACUUACGCUAAUACCGCAUACGACCUACGGGUGAAAGCAGGGGAUCUUCGGACCUUGCGCGAUUGAAUGAGCCGAUGUCGGAUUAGCUAGUUGGCGGGGUAAAGGCCCACCAAGGCGACGAUCCGUGGCUGGUCUGAGAGGAUGAUCAGCCACACUGGAACUGAGCCACGGUCCAGACUACUACGGGAGGCAGCAGUGGGGAAUAUUGGACAAUGGGCGCAAGCCUGAUCCAGCCAUACCGCGUGGGUGAAGAAGGCCUUCGGGUUGUAAAGCCCUUUUGUUGGGAAAGAAAAGCAGCAGGUUAAUACCCCGCUGUUCUGACGGUACCCAAAGAAUAAGCACCGGCUAACUUCGUG